rnacentral:ncRNA from 1 species
GGGACUCUGGAGAAUCUCGUUUGAUCGAGUGCCGAAGGUGCAAGGCGUGUACGCCGAAUCUCUCAGGCAAAAGGACAGAGCUGG